GUGAAUCAUCGAAUCUUUGAACGCAAAUUGCACUCUCCUCGGAGAGUAUGCGUGUUUGAGGGUCAGCCUAAAAAAAAUCGAAAUAGUUGCUGUUCCGGGGUGACGGUCGUGGGAAAUUGGGUUAUCUUAAACCUUUUGGUUUAAGCGACUUAAAAUUGUAUUUUUGUUUUCAGUAAAGUUUUUAAAAUUU
rnacentral:misc_RNA from 1 species